AGACUUAAGACAGAAAUAUAGCAGGAGCUACAGUCAAGUUCCUUCUUAACACUUUUACUGCAUGGCAAAAGGAAGUGAAAAACAAACUUUUCUCCAAAGACCGGCAAAGCUACAUAACAGAUUGCUCUCUUUUAAAGGUUUCAGAUGUUGCAUCAAACAGAAAUUGCAUCAGACAGAGAAAAUAAAUUCUUUAUAGACAAAGACUAGUGCA